GCCGGCGUAGCUCAAUUGGCUAGAGCAGCGGUCUCCAAAACCGCCUGUUGCAGGUUCAAGUCCUGUCGCCGGUG
rnacentral:tRNA from 1 species